GACGAACGCUGGCGGCGUGCCUAAUACAUGCAAGUCGAACGCACUCUCGUUUAGAUUGAAGGAGCUUGCUCCUGAUUGAUAAACAUUUGAGUGAGUGGCGGACGGGUGAGUAACACGUGGGUAACCUGCCCUAAAGUGGGGGAUAACAUUUGGAAACAGAUGCUAAUACCGCAUAAAACCUAAACACCGCAUGGUGUAGGGUUGAAAGAUGGUUUCGGCUAUCACUUUAGGAUGGACCCGCGGUGCAUUAGUUAGUUGGUGAGGUAAAGGCUCACCAAGACCGUGAUGCAUAGCCGACCUGAGAGGGUAAUCGGCCACACUGGGACUGAGACACGGCCCAGACUCCUACGGGAGGCAGCAGUAGGGAAUCUUCCACAAUGGACGAAAGUCUGAUGGAGCAACGCCGCGUGAGUGAAGAAGGUUUUCGGAUCGUAAAACUCUGUUGUUGGAGAAGAAUGUAUCUGAUAGUAACUGAUCAGGUAGUGACGGUAUCCAACAGAAAGCC
rnacentral:rRNA from 1 species